AGACUGUGAAGAUUUCUGUGAUAAGGUCUCGUUCGUCGUAAUUGGCCUAAUCGGCCUUGCCGACAAUCCUGCUAUAUCACCAUUUCCUUUGGUUGUCC
rnacentral:snoRNA from 1 species